ACGAGUUAGGGUCUCCUAGGCCCGACCUCCCAACCCUUUGUUUACUGAACCACUGUUGCUUCGGCGGGCCCGUCUCACGACCGCCGGAGGAGCGCUGAAAAGCGUGUCCUCUGGCCCGUGUCCGCCGAUGGCCAACCACAAAACUCUGUAUAAAUCGUGUCUUAUGUCUAAGUCAAUGAUUAAAUUAAAGCA
rnacentral:misc_RNA from 1 species